rnacentral:sRNA from 1 species
AACAAAGGAAAAAUAUGCCGAGACCA